CGACUCAUGAAAGCUGAGAGAGGGUCAAGUCAGCCCUUGUUCCUCACAUGGUUUAUGCUGUGAGCAAGCCUUCUGCGUUCGAGGAGCUUGGAGAAGCUGCCAGGCUGUAGAUCAGAAGUGGGGCUGGCAGUUCUGGGGCCCUCUGGGCAGCAUCUCUGUGGGGUGAGUCUUCCGACUGCCUUGCUGGAGUCCCAUGGCUAUUCUAAAUCUGCAGUGUGCAAGGGAAAAAGAAGGAAGAAGAGAAGGAAAAGGAGGAAGAGGAGAACAAGAAAGCAUCCAGAGAGAAAGGGAUGAAGGAGGUGGUGGACGUGGUGGGGUCUGGAGCCAUCCAACUGCCUCUUGCCUGGAGAGUAGGACCCAGGACCGCCUGGGAAGACCCACAGGAGGAGGACACAUGUGUGCUCCCUUCCACGUCCGCAGCUCACGGUGCUUCUUUUAAAGCUGUCAACAAGAUCUGUCCUGGUUUUCCUUCAUGUUGGCACUGUCCUUUGAAGGUCUAAGAUGGUCCAUUAGUGUGGAAAUUGGAAAGAUACUAGGCUGGGAGCCGGCCACAAUGUACCUGGGGUGGAGAUGGAAAUCGAAAGGUGACAGAUCACCCAGAGGGAUGUGGCACCAUGCAGGGCCCUGCGGGCGCCUGGGCACAAGACCUCGUGCCCCUAUUUCUUUGAUUCUGGGAAGCAGCCUUCAUUCAGCCUCCAUGAUCUUUCCUGAGGUCCAAAAGUGAAGAGGAACUCAAAAGCCUCUGCAUGAAAGUGAAAGUGGAAAGUGAAAAAGUUGGCUUAAAGCUCAACAUUCAGAAAACGAAAAUCAUGGCAUCCGGUCCCAUCACUUCAUGGGAAACAGAUGGGGAAACAGUGGAAACAGUGUCAGACUUUAUUUUUGGGGGC
rnacentral:lncRNA from 1 species